rnacentral:rRNA from 1 species
CAGCCGCCGCGGGAAUACGAAGGGGGCUAGCGUUGCUCGGAAUCACUGGGCGUAAAGGGUGCGUAGGCGGGUCUUUAAGUCAGAGGUGAAAUCCUGGAGCUCAACUCCAGAACUGCCUUUGAUACUGAGGAUCUUGAGUUCGGGAGAGGUGAGUGGAACUGCGAGUGUAGAGGUGAAGUUCGUAGAUAUUCGCAAGAACACCAGUGGCGAAGGCGGCUCACUGGCCCGAUACUGACGCUGAGGCACGAAAGCGUGGGGAGCAAACAGGAUUAGAUACCCGCGUAGUCCCUGUCUCUUAUAC